CCUACGGGUGGCAGCAGUGAGGAAUAUUGGUCAAUGGACGCGAGUCUGAACCAGCCAAGUCGCGUGAAGGAUGACUGCCCUAUGGGUUGUAAACUUCUUUUAUAUGGGAAUAAAAUGUUCCACGUGUGUGAUUUUGUACGUACCAUAUGAAUAAGGAUCGGCUAACUCCGUGCCAGCAGCCGCGGUAAUACGGAGGAUUCGAGCGUUAUCCGGAUUUAUUGGGUUUAAAGGGAGCGUAGGUGGACUGUUAAGUCAGUUGUGAAAGUUUGGGGCUCAACCUUAGAAUUGCAGCUGAUACUGGCAGUCUUGAGUACAGUAGCGGUGGGCGGAAUGCGUGGUGUAGCGGUGAAAUGCUUAGAUAUCACGCAGAACUCCGAUUGCGAAGGCAGCUUACUGGACUGCAACUGACGCUGAGGCUCGAAAGUGUGGGUAUCAAACAGGAUUAGAUACCCCUGUAGUC
rnacentral:rRNA from 1 species